rnacentral:rRNA from 1 species
AUUGAACGCUGGCGGCAGGCCUAACACAUGCAAGUCGAGCGAGCGGCGGACGGGUGAGUAAUGUCUGGGGAACUGCCCGAUGGAGGGGGAUAACUACUGGAAACGGUAGCUAAUACCGCAUACCAUCGGAUGUACCCAUAUGGGAUUAGCUGGUAGGUGAGGUAACGGCGCACCGAGGCGACGAUCCCUAGCUGGUCUGAGAGGAUGAUCAGCCACACUGGAACUGAGACACGGCCCAGACUCCUACGGGAGGCAGCAGUGGGGAAUAUUGCACAAUGGGCGCAAGCCUGAUGCAGCCAUGCCGCGUGUGUGAAGAAGGCCUUCGGGUUGUAAAGCACUUUCAGUCGGGAGGCGUUACCGACAGAAGAAGCACCGGCUAACUCCGUGCCAGCAGCCGCGGUAAUAC